CUGUACAUUCAAGGCAUCGCAAUCAAUACAAUUCACGAAGGUUCCAACCAGGAACAGAUAUCAAUCAAGAUUGCAAGUGGAAGGUAUCAUACAACAUAAACACAUCCUAAGUUAUUACAUUCAUUCACUUUCAUAGUUUUUACAUCACAGUUUCCAUUCUUUUUCAUCCAAAUGCAAUCUAAGUUAUUACAACAUUUACUUACUACAAGUUUGAUACAUUGUAUUCUUUUCAUUUCCUUUACCCCUAAGCUAUAUAGACGGGGUACUGCUAGCUCUGGUCUCUGGGGUAGGGCGCUAUCUGCAGAACUACGCCCUCGCCUUGCGCCGCCGCGCCGCACACGUGUGUACCUGUACCCCCAAAACAGCAACACGGGGGUGAGACUAUUGUCCAUAGUCCUCAGUGGGUUUAGCCACCCAAGAGAACCAGCUCAACCAACAGGUCUAACGAGGCACUGCAACAUGUUAGUUCAACAAUAUACAACAGAUAUAUAUAUUCAAUUGAAAUACAUGUCAUGCCUCACGAAAUGCAAUAUGCAAUACCUGUAAUCAUGCAAGUAGGUUACUUUAACGCUACUUAUAUUCUUAAUCAUUCUUUACUCUUGUCAUUUAAUGUUUACUUUUAGCUCUUAGCUAUUCUUUACUUGUAACCUUUCUUUACUUAUCAGCUAUUCUUAUUCCUUAGCCGAUCUUUAUUCUUUACUUAUUCUUUAUUCUUUACACUUUGUCGCACUUUUCCACUGGCCAUUCUUUCCUAAGGUUUCUCUUACCUUAGUUCUCUAAGCCACCCGACUCGGUCUUGAGUCAAUCAAUCGCGGAUAGUCCGCGCACUGUCUAGCUCGAGGUGAAGGAACUCUCACAUGCACCUCAGCUGGCAACAGCUCACCGUACUCCUGUCCUAGCCGUCUGGCGGCGAACGAAUCGCACCUCACCCAACAACGGCCUAGGUCCAUGACUUAGCCACCCGGCGGCGAAAUCGUCGCACAAACGCCACGACAGUGGUUCAGUCAACAGGCGGUAGGAUCCACAAACUGGCUAACCAUCCGGCGGCGAAAUCGUCGCACACGCCACGACAAUGGUUCUUUAGCCCUUGGGCGGCGAAAUCGUCGCACACACCCGACACCACUUUGGGUGUAUCCUUUUAGCCUUGGGAUUCCGGAAUCCAUUUCACAUCACAUAGGGGUUGGUCUUAACCCUAUGGAACUGACCUCUCUAGGUCUAAGCCUUUACUCAACCUAAGUUCACCCAUUAGGUUUAUUGCUUUCACAUUCUUAACCUAGGUUUAUUACACUAGGAUCAUUAUUCUUUCCAACCUAGGUUCACUUGACUCUAGGUUAAGUACUUUUCAUUUCACGACCUAUGUUUAUUAACACUAGGUUAGAUGCCACUCGAUCUAUUUGAUUCUAGGUCUACUCACGACCUAUGUUCCUUAACACUAAGUUAGAUGCCACUCGAUCUAAUUCACAUACUAAUUGUCCAAUUAAGCAUUCUACUCAUUCUAGAGUUAUCAAUUCUCAUUUUCCAAUGUUAUCUCUCUAAUCAAGCUAGAGUUAUCAACCAAGUUCAUAUGCAUAUAUAAUCUCACAAUGCUAAGCAUGCAUCUAUGAUCUCAUAAUGCUAAUCAUGCGUUUAUAAUCUCAUAUAUCAUUUAUAUGCAUCUACUUAGCAUUUACAUCAUACUAUAAACAUGCAUCAUAUAACUUGCUCAUUAUGCAUUCUAGCAUUUCUACAUUACAUUAUUUAGCAUUAUGUAACUUGCUCAUAAUGCAUUCUAUUUAGCAUUUACAUCAUACUAUCAACAUGCAUUAUUUAGCUACAUGCAUCAUUUACAUGCUUCAUUUACAUUUAUAUGCAUCAACAUGGAUUCUUAGUUUCUUAGACAUAAAGGCGACCUAGUCGCUUCGGUAAACACAACCCACCUUAAUUCGCGUUCCGAUUGCUUGUCGACACUUGCAAUCGGCCUCCCGCGGCACCCGUAUCCGGCACGGCCCGAUACUGCAACUGCGCCUCAACCGUGCUCCGCUUCGCAGCCCCGAAAAUUAUAGGUCUUCGGUUAUGUGCCACGAUGCCUCAAAUCCAUUUCCAUGAUUUUACGACGUCGCCUCGGCCCUCCCGGCGGACCCGAAGCCUAAACGUCUAUUUCUUUAAUAACUUUGUAACAGCUCGUCGGAUUGCCGAACCGUCUUCGCCAACGCGUUUCGUUACCUAGCAAUUAGGUUUACGAAGGGUCAAAUGAGAUCAAACCCUCAUAUUUUGAAAGUUUGCAUUUUGGAGCCCUAGGUUACAACUAUGCAAGAAAUCACUAAAUUGAUCCAUGAUUCAAGCAUUAAUCAUCUAGAUAGCAUGCUAGGACUCCUCUAAAUCCAUUUAUAAGGUAUUUAAACCAAGCAUUAAAGAUCUACCAUUAAAGGGCUCAAGAAGCUCACCUCAAAAUGAGCUCCAAACCAUGGAGAAGAUGAAGAAGACGAAGGCGAUCCACCUCCAAGCUUCAAUCUCCACCAAAUCCAUUCUUUUUGGGAGAGAUUUAGAGAGAGAAAGAGAGGCUUCUCUCUUCCCUUCCAUGCGCGUGUGUGUGUGUGCGGUUUGGGCUGCUACGGCUGGGAGGAAGAAGAAGCAAAAGGGAUUUAAUCCCAUUUUACCAUUUUGCCCCUCAACUACACACUAUUCACUACGGGCAGCCUGAAAUCUGAUAAAUUUCGUUGGAGCCCUUCCGGAUGUCCGUUUUCGCUCAAAUUUGACAGGCAGGCUCAGUUUAACGUACUGAGCAAGAAUAUAUCUUAAGUUUUCAGUUUCGACCCCGUUUGGUCACCGAAAACUGUGCCGAACUGCAAUCUUUAUCAGAUAGCUUUCGGAUUUUAUUUCUCACUCUACGGGUGUCAGAAAAAUAUGAAACUUUAAAUCUAGUCUCAUAAAAAUAUUUCUGACAUCCCCGCUAAUUUUCAUAAUUUUCUGAGACUGUGCAUUUUCUGCUAAUUUAUCAGUCCCGUUUCCAACAGAAAAUUCUAAAUCUUCUGUUUUCGCUCCGAUUUCAGCACAGGUCGUUCCCAACC
rnacentral:lncRNA from 1 species